UACGUAGGGUGCAAGCGUUGUCCGGAUUUAUUGGGCGUAAAGAGCUCGUAGGCGGUCUGUCGCGUCGGAUGUGAAAACCCAGGGCUCAACCCUGGGCCUGCAUUCGAUACGGGCAGACUAGAGUGUGGCAGGGGAGACUGGAAUUCCUGGUGUAGCGGUGAAAUGCGCAGAUAUCAGGAGGAACACCGGUGGCGAAGGCGGGUCUCUGGGCCGUUACUGACGCUGAGGAGCGAAAGCGUGGGGAGCGAACAGG
rnacentral:rRNA from 1 species